rnacentral:rRNA from 1 species
UACGUAGGGUGCAAGCGUUGUCCGGAAUUAUUGGGCGUAAAGAGCUCGUAGGCGGUCUGUCGCGUCUGCUGUGAAAACUCAGGGCUUAACCCUGAGCUUGCAGUGGGUACGGGCAGACUAGAGUGCGGUAGGGGAGACUGGAAUUCCUGAUGUAGCGGUGAAAUGCGCAGAUAUCAGGAGGAACACCGGUGGCGAAGGCGGGUCUCUGGGCCGUAACUGACGCUGAGGAGCGAAAGCGUGGGGAGCGAACAGG